AGCAGCCGCGGUAAUUCCAGCUCCAAUAGCGUAUAUUAAAGUUGUAGCAGUUAAAAAGCUCGUAGUUGAAUUUCGGGGUUAGUAGAUUGGUCAUGCCUCUGGUAUGUACUGGUCUCACUGAUUCCUCCUUCCUGAUGAUCCGUAAUGCCAUUAAUUUGGUGUUUUGGGGAAUUUGGACUGUUACUUUGAAAAAAUUAGAGUGUUUAAAGCAAGCUAACGCUUGAAUACAUUAGCAUGGAAUAAUGAAAUAGGACGUUCGAUCCUAUUUUGUUGGUUUCUAGGAUUGACGUAAUGAUUAAUAGGGAUAGUUGGGGGCAUUAGUAUUCAAUUGUCAGAGGUGAAAUUCUUGGAUUUAUUGAAGACUAACUACUGCGAAAGCAUUUGCCAAGGAUGUUUUCAUUAAUCAAGAACGAAAGUUAGGGGAUCGAAGACGAUCAGAUACCGUCGUAGUCUUAACCAUAAACUAUGCCGACUAGGGAUCGGAUGAUGUUAAUUUUUUAAUGACUCA
rnacentral:rRNA from 1 species